rnacentral:misc_RNA from 1 species
UUCAGUUUAGUAAGGUUCAUGAUAUUCACCUUGCAGAUGCUUGUAAAAUAACUCCGGCAAAGUUUUCCGGUUCCAAAGAAGUAGUGCCGCUGCAUUUUCGUAAACAGUUGGAAGGUUCUUCAUCCUUGGGGGACAGAGAAGAGAUUUACUUUGAUUUUAGAAAGCAGCGCUUCAUCUAUUCAAAAGAGGAGGAGACAUUUUGCAAGCUUCCUUACCCUACCAAGGAAACGUUUGGCAACUAUCUUAAAAUUACUGGUCAUGGC